AGAGUUUGAUCCUGGCUCAGGAUUAACGCUGGCGGUAUGCCUAACACAUGCAAGUCGAACGGAAUACUAAUUAAGAGAAUCUCACACUAGUGAGAGGUUCUCACGAGUAGUAUUUAGUGGCGGACGGGUGAGUAACACGUUGGAACCUGCCCCGAAGUGGGGAAUAACUGCUCGAAAGAGUAGCUAAUACCCCAUAGUAUCCGGUUUAUCCGGAUUAAAGAUUUAUCGCUUCGGGAGGGGCCUGCGUCUGAUUAGCUAGUUGGUGAGGUAAAAGCUCACCAAGGCGACGAUCAGUAGCUGGUUCGAGAGGAUGACCAGCCACACUGGGACUGAGAUACGGCCCAGACUCCUACGGGAGGCAGCAGUGAGGAAUCUUCCACAAUGGGCGCAAGCCUGAUGGAGCAAUACCGCGUGCAGGAAGACGCUUUUCGGAGUGUAAACUGCUUUUGUCGUCGAAGAUUAUGACUGUAGACGAAGAAUAAGGACCGGCUAACUACGUG
rnacentral:rRNA from 1 species